GUGCAUUUACUCCUCUAUAUAUGCAUAAAUGAGUUUUCUAAAAUAGCUUCAAAAAAUAGCCUUGUUUCUUUAUGGAUCAUCAUAUAUGCAUUAUUAGUAGUAUAUUAUGGUGCUAGUCAUUAAUUAAUUACAUUACAACUAUGAUUAUCUUAAUUAAGGAGUUUUAUUAUUAUUUUUAAAUAUUUGUUUCACAGUUUUAACUUUCACGUCCAAUAAAAUGUGGGAACCCACGUGAAGAAAAUAUAUCAAAGACUGGAAUUGGAAAUGAAUCUAUAGUACCCCCCAACACUUAUGGGGAGUGAUGGAGACAUGUCCCAUGAAAGAUUUCUCUUAUUUAUCUAUAUAGAUAAUUUGAUACUCUCAAAAACUCUUGUAUUAUAUUCAAUAUGAUUUAUCAAUUUCCAAACAGUUUUAUUUAUCUAAUUCUCAUUUUGUUGCCUUAGAUUUGAAAGAAAAUAUUCACAAUGGUCCCAAUGUUGUUAUUAAAUGUAGCAUUGCUGGCACUGCAGACACGCAAAUAGUACUCUUUAUUUUUCAACUGAUCUUCAUUGUUUGUAUUUGAGUCAAUAAAUUAGUGAGACAAAACCUUACUCACACACAUUGGCUAGAGAUGUAGCUUACAUUCAGCUUCUUCAUUGUUAGAAAUAAUGAUAUAAAUAAAGCUUAUAAAGCUUGAUGGUGUAUAAUAUAAUAUAUAUUGAAAUAAUAGAAAUGUUAUUUUGACA
rnacentral:lncRNA from 1 species